rnacentral:lncRNA from 1 species
CCUUCCUGCGGCGGCCGCCACCAGCCGGAAUAGCAACCGGCGGAGCCCGUGCGCACCGCAGCGCAGCGCAGCGGCCGGGGGGUGCGGGCGCCCUCGCCGCCCGGCUACCUACCGCCGCCUGGGCGCCGCCGCUGCCUCCCUUCCCCGCUUCUACCCUCCAGCAGACGCCCGCCGGAGCGACCCCUCCCAGGGUGACCGGGGGAAGGUGGGUGGCGUUGACCUCACCUUGCUUGGGGAGGGUCGGGGACUCGGGGAGUGAGUUUCUCUCUCUCUACUCCCCGGGGUCUCUCCUCGACCCCCAUCUCCUGGGGUAUCCCCCGCUCGGAUCCGCCGCCCAGAGUGACCCCGCCCCUGCUCUCCGGCAGGUGUUCCACGUGGCCAUAGCGUUUGCGUCACAAUGACCUGGCGGACAGAACACCAGUAAGGUGCUAGUGAGAACCCGAAACAGUUUCUAAGGAGAAUGGCUAUUGAAUGAUGGGAUCAGAAAUUAGGAG